GAUGAAGAACGUAGCGAAAUGCGAUAAGUAAUGUGAAUUGCAGAAUUCAGUGAAUCAUCGAAUCUUUGAACGCACCUUGCGCUCCUUGGCAUUCCGAGGAGCAUGCCUGUUUGAGUGUCAUUAAAUUCUCAAGACCUGUCUGCUUUUUUGAUAGGUAUUGGAUUUUGGGGGUUGCAGGCUGUUUCAAAUAAUAGCCUUGCUCUCCUUGAAUGUAUUAGUGGAGAAAAGCCAUUGAACUCCAUUGGUGUGAUAAAACCUAUCAAUGCCAGGAGCAAUAUCACUACUUCUCUCUGCUGUCUAACUGUGACUGUCUGUAUUAAUUAGUAUGGAUGGGGACAACUUGACCAACUUGACCUCAAAUCAGGUAGGACUACCCGCUGAACUUAAGCAUAUCAAUAAGCGGAGGA
rnacentral:misc_RNA from 1 species